rnacentral:rRNA from 1 species
CCUACGGGAGGCAGCAGUGAGGAAUAUUGGUCAAUGGACGAGAGUCUGAACCAGCCAAGUAGCGUGAAGGAUGACUGCCCUAUGGGUUGUAAACUUCUUUUAUAUGGGAAUAAAAUGUUCCACGUGUGGGAUUUUGUAUGUACCAUAUGAAUAAGGAUCGGCUAACUCCGUGCCAGCAGCCGCGGUAAUACGGAGGAUCCGAGCGUUAUCCGGGUUUAUUGGGUUUAAAGGGAGCGUAGGUGGAUUGUUAAGUCAGUUGUGAAAGUUGGCGGCUUAACCGUAAAAUUGCAGUUGAAACUGGCAGUCUUGAGUACAGUAGAGGUGGGCGGAAUGCGUGGUGUAGCGGUGAAAUGCUUAGAUAUCACGAAGAACUCCGAUUGCGAAGGCAGUUCACUGGACUGCAACUGACACUGAGGCUCGAAAGUGUGGGUAUCAAACAGGAUUAGAUACCCCUGUAGUC